GGCUACGGCCAUAUCACGAUGAAUGCACCUCAUCCCGUCCGAUUUGAGAAGUUAAGCAUCGUCGAGCCACAUCAGUACUGAGGUUGGAGACAACUUGGGAACCUGUGAAGCUGUAGUCU
rnacentral:rRNA from 1 species